rnacentral:lncRNA from 1 species
CAACCGCCAGGGCCGGCCGCGCCGCCCGGACUGGGGCGGCGGCCGGUCGCACGACAUGGCCGGCACGAUCUCCUCUGACCGCACACGGUCUCUCGUGCGUGCGCUGCCACUACGCGCUGGCCCAAGUGGUAGAUUAUCCUCCAUCGAUCGCAACUUGGGUGGGUCGACAUGGCCACCCUCGCCUUGCUCGAGCCCCGUGCUACUACCGUGUGCUAAAUAAAAGAACACCAGGAUAUUAUAUAUCCACAAAGUUGAUUAACACUCAGACGCUGUAAGUAGCAAUUGACCAAUUUGUUCUGAACGGCAUCUUCGGCGGACCCUCAAAACGUCCGGACCGAGUAGUCCGGACGAUGCAGACCAUUCAACACGGUGCUCCAUCGCUCCCUAAUGUGUCCGCUUGUCCGAAAUCCCUUAAAACAUACACGAUUGACCGUCACGUUCAUAAAAAAUCAUCUCCGUGCGAAGCCGUUGUCGUGCAUUCAUGACGACCAGACUGCUCUAGAGCACAAGACACUACGACAUUGAUGCCGGUGCGAACGGCGUGACUGAACGAGCCGACGAGCGGCUCCACUUCAACGCAAUGUCGACGAAGCAUCCGAGAAGACUACUCUGGCCAGUGCGCGGCAUUGAAGCGAGGUGGCUGUUUGUCCGCCUAGAUGCAGAUAUUUAAGCUCGGCUCCAACACCGUCCACCCACUCCAUAUCUUGUAUCCUCGCCUAUCCACUCACCGCCGUGGACGAUGUCGAAGUCCUCGUUCUUCGCGUCGUCGGGUGGUGGCUCUGGAUCUCCUUCCAGAUCCGACGAGGACCAUGCGUCAUAGCAGUCGUGCCUCCUCAUGGAGGUUGCGAUGACCGUCAAGGAGUACCAGGCGCACCUGCAGCUCCUCUAUUUGACUAAUUGCAUGUCAAAUUAUUUGCUCAACCGACUAAGGUUCAUGUGUUCUCAAAGAAACAAUUGUUUACUAACCAACAGAAAAAAUCUUCUAGAUUAUUGCCACAAUGAGCGAUAAGCC